UUUUCCAACAUUUUCUGUUUUUGACUCUCAAUACCUUCCUGGGACUUUGGAGACUAGCAGUAUAAACACUGUAAGCUUGAUGCUGCUGCCAUUGUGUAUAGUAAUCAGAAGAACAAUUCCUGACAAAUUUUCUUCUCUUCACUCCUGAAACCCCAUCCACCUCCACCUCACAGAGAGCUGUGUUCAAUUACAGGACCUCUACUCCUACCCCGACUUCAGGUCAACUAACUCAGCACAGAUUAAGGAUGGAGCCUGAGAUUUUCCCAGUCUGUUCCUGAUGGUGAUAAAUUUACUUUGACCUCACAAUCCUAGGAACUUGUUGGGGAGUUAGCGCCUGCUCACUAACCAGUUACCACCCAGAUUAAUCUGACUACAAAUGGAGCACUGGAUGAAAUUUCUUCGAUGACUUGUAAAUGAGGGAAACAAGCUACCUCUGGGGCCUUUAAGAACAGCAAUUUCAUGUCCUAGCAUGGAUUUUAAUGCUAAGUCUAUCAGCAAGAGCCCAGCGUAGUGAAGAUACUGAAGGAGUAUGGCAACUUGGACAGCAAUCUCAGCAUUUCCACAUUUAACUGCACAUGUACAGACUCCAGAAGUCCUUACUCAAUUUACUCCAAAAUACAGUGCAAUUGUUGGUGGCACUAAGAUCCCAGAGAGAGAGUGUAGAAUAUUGUACAAGGCUGAAGGACGAAUUUGCUGUUUGUUAAGUCCCUGGCUGUUGCUGUCUGGUGGACCACCGCUCUCAGGGACAGCAUGUCUCACCUGUCACCCCAAUAGCCAGGGGCUAAGAAAGAAACCAUCAUGAAAGAGAUCAGAAAAAUUAAUCACUGAGAAAAUUCAAGAGCUCAAUAAGACACUGAAAUCCAUGGCGAAUCAUCUAAAUAAUAUUUAAGUAUGAAUUUGUAUUUCCUAGA